GACCUGGAAAGGUCCGUCGUAGAGGGUAACAACCCCGUAGUCGAAACUUCGUUCUCUCUUGAAUGUAUCCUGAGUACGGCGGAACACGUGAAAUUCCGUCGGAAUCUGGGAGGACCAUCUCCCAAGGCUAAAUACUCCCUAGUGAUCGAUAGUGAACCAGUACCGUGAGGGAAAGGUGAAAAGCACCCCGGAAGGGGAGUGAAAGAGAUCCUGAAACCGUGUGCCUACAAAUAGUCAGAGCCCGUUAACGGGUGAUGGCGUGCCUUUUGUAGAAUGAACCGGCGAGUUACGAUCCCGUGCGAGGUUAAGCUGAAGAGGCGGAGCCGCAGCGAAAGCGAGUCUGAAUAGGGCGUUUAGUACGUGGUCGUAGACCCGAAACCAGGUGAUCUACCCAUGUCCAGGGUGAAGUUCAGGUAACACUGAAUGGAGGCCCGAACCCACGCACGUUGAAAAGUGCGGGGAUGAGGUGUGGGUAGCGGAGAAAUUCCAAUCGAACCUGGAGAUAGCUGGUUCUCCCCGAAAUAGCUUUAGGGCUAGCCUUAAGUGUAAGAGUCUUGGAGGUAGAGCACUGAUUGGACUAGGGGUCCUCAUCGGAUUACCGAAUUCAGUCAAACUCCGAAUGCCAAUGACUUAUCCUUAGGAGUCAGACUGCGAGUGAUAAGAUCCGUAGUCAAAAGGGAAACAGCCCAGACCGCCAGCUAAGGUCCCAAAGUGUGUAUUAAGUGGAAAAGGAUGUGGAGUUGCUUAGACAACUAGGAUGUUGGCUUAGAAGCAGCCACCAUUUAAAGAGUGCGUAAUAGCUCACUAGUCGAGUGACUCUGCGCCGAAAAUGUACCGGGGCUAAAUACACCACCGAAGCUGCGGAUUGAUACCGAAUGGUAUCAGUGGUAGGGGAGCGUUCUAAGGACAGUGAAGUCAGACCGUAAGGACUGGUGGAGUGCUUAGAAGUGAGAAUGCCGGUAUGAGUAGCGAAAGACGGGUGAGAAUCCCGUCCACCGAAUGCCUAAGGUUUCCUGAGGAAGGCUCGUCCGCUCAGGGUUAGUCAGGACCUAAGCCGAGGCCGACAGGCGUAGGCGAUGGACAACAGGUUGAUAUUCCUGUACCACCUCUUUAUCGUUUGAGCAAUGGAGGGACGCAGAAGGAUAGAAGAAGCGUGCGAUUGGUUGUGCACGUCCAAGCAGUUAGGCUGAUAAGUAGGCAAAUCCGCUUAUCAUAAAGGCUGAGCUGUGAUGGGGAAGCUCCUUAUGGAGCGAAGUCUUUGAUUCCCCGCUGCCAAGAAAAGCUUCUAGCGAGAUAAAAGGUGCCUGUACCGCAAACCGACACAGGUAGGCGAGGAGAGAAUCCUAAGGUGUGCGAGAGAACUCUGGUUAAGGAACUCGGCAAAAUGACCCCGUAACUUCGGGAGAAGGGGUGCUUUCUUAACGGAAAGCCGCAGUGAAUAGGCCCAAGCGACUGUUUAGCAAAAACACAGCUCUCUGCGAAGCCGUAAGGCGAAGUAUAGGGGGUGACACCUGCCCGGUGCUGGAAGGUUAAGGAGAGGGGUUAGCGUAAGCGAAGCUCUGAACUGAAGCCCCAGUAAACGGCGGCCGUAACUAUAACGGUCCUAAGGUAGCGAAAUUCCUUGUCGGGUAAGUUCCGACCCGCACGAAAGGUGUAACGAUUUGGGCACUGUCUCAACCAGAGACUCGGUGAAAUUAUAGUACCUGUGAAGAUGCAGGUUACCCGCGACAGGACGGAAAGACCCCGUGGAGCUUUACUGUAGCCUGAUAUUGAAUUUUGGUACAGUUUGUACAGGAUAGGCGGGAGCCAUUGAAACCGGAGCGCUAGCUUCGGUGGAGGCGCUGGUGGGAUACCGCCCUGACUGUAUUGAAAUUCUAACCUACGGGUCUUAUCGACCCGGGAGACAGUGUCAGGUGGGCAGUUUGACUGGGGCGGUCGCCUCCUAAAGUGUAACGGAGGCGCCCAAAGGUUCCCUCAGAAUGGUUGGAAAUCAUUCGUAGAGUGCAAAGGCAUAAGGGAGCUUGACUGCGAGACCUACAAGUCGAGCAGGGACGAAAGUCGGGCUUAGUGAUCCGGUGGUUCCGCAUGGAAGGGCCAUCGCUCAACGGAUAAAAGCUACCCCGGGGAUAACAGGCUUAUCUCCCCCAAGAGUCCACAUCGACGGGGAGGUUUGGCACCUCGAUGUCGGCUCAUCGCAUCCUGGGGCUGUAGUCGGUCCCAAGGGUUGGGCUGUUCGCCCAUUAAAGCGGUACGCGAGCUGGGUUCAGAACGUCGUGAGACAGUUCGGUCCCUAUCCGUCGUGGGCGUAGGAAAUUUGAGAGGAGCUGUCCUUAGUACGAGAGGACCGGGAUGGACGCACCGCUGGUGUACCAGUUGUUCUGCCAAGGGCAUAGCUGGGUAGCUAUGUGCGGAAGGGAUAAGUGCUGAAAGCAUCUAAGCAUGAAGCCCCCCUCAAGAUGAGAUUUCCCAUAGCGUAAGCUAGUAAGAUCCCUGAAAGAUGAUCAGGUUGAUAGGUUCGAGGUGGAAGCAUGGUGACAUGUGGAGCUGACGAAUACUAAUAGAUCGAGGACUUAACC
rnacentral:rRNA from 1 species